GCCACCAUGGCUGGGACACCUGGGGGACACCAUGGCCACCAUUGGGACCACUGAGGGGACAUUGUGGUCAUCACUGGGAUCACUGAGGGGACAUCGAGGCCACCAUUGGGACAUCACCUGGGGGGUGACCACGGCUGAGGACACUGAGGGGACACCCCUAUGGAGUGACCAUGGCCUGGAUGACCAUGGGGACAUCCCAACAAAGCCACCCCAGCUCCCACAGCAGUGUCCUCUCAGUGUCCCCUCAAUGUCCCCUCAAUGUCCCCUCAGUGUCCCCUCAGUGUCCCCAGGCCCUUGGGCUCUCACACGGUGCCACCACAGCUCCUGUCCCACGGGGAGCCACCAAAACCCCCCCGAGAUCCCUGAGGGGCUCCAGGACCCCCAAAUCCUGGGAUCAAGGUGGAUCUAGGAGGGAUCUGGAGGGAUCCAGGAGGAUCUGGGGGUGUCCAGGGGAUAUCUGGGGGUGUCCAGGGGGGAUCUGGAAGGUCCAGGUGGGAUCUGGUGGAUUCUGGUGGAGUCUGGAGCAUCUGUGUGAGAUCUGGGGGAUCCAGGAGGGAUCUGAAGAAUCCGUGAGAAAUUUGGAAGGUCCAGGUGGGAUCUGGAGGAUCCAGGUGGGAUCUGGAGGAUCCUGAUGGAGUCUGGAGCAUCUGUGUGACCUCUGGAGGAUCCAGGAAAGAUUUGGAGGAUCCAGGAGGGAUCUGAAGAAUCCGUGUGAAAUCUGGAAGGUCCAGGUGGGAUCUGGAAGGUCCAGGUGGGAUCUGGAGGAUCCAGGAAGGUUCUGGAGGAGCCGGGCAGGAUCUGGUGGAGCCAGAAAGGAUCUGGUGCCGAGGUGGAGCCUUGGAAGCUUCAAACAGUGCUGGGAGAGAGCUCAGGGAGAGCCCCAGGGUGCAGAUGGAGCUGGGAUCUGGCGGGAUCCUGGCUGGGAUCUGGGUUCAAUCCUGGUGGAUCCUGGCUGGGAUCUGGGUUCAACGCCAGCUGGAUUUGGGCUGGAUCCCAGCUGGAUCUGGGCUGGAUCCCAGCUGGAUCUGGGCUGGAUCCCAGCAGAUCCCUCAGUUGCUCCAGCACAAUCCACGGCCCUGCUGGGUGGCUCUGGGCUCAGUCCUGGUGGAUCCUGGCUGGAUCUGGAUUCAGUCUUGGCUGGAUUUGGGCUGGAUUUGGGCUGGAUCCCAGUGGAUCCCUCAGCUGCUUCAGCACUGCCCACAGCCCUGCUGGGUCUGGGUUCAAUCCUGGUGGAUCUGGGCUCAAUCCCAGCUGGAUCCCAGUUCAGAUCCCAGUAGAUCCCAUCAGAUCCCAUGGAUCCCUCAGUUGCUGCAGCACUGCCCACGGCCCUGCGGGUUGGAUCUGGACUCAGUCCUGGUGGAUCCUGGUUGUGAUCCUGGGUCAAUCCCAAUGGAUCUUGGCUGGAUUUGACCUGGAUUUGGGCUGGAUCCCG
rnacentral:lncRNA from 1 species